rnacentral:rRNA from 1 species
UACGGGGGGAGCAAGCGUUGUUCGGAUUUACUGGGCGUAAAGGGCGCGUAGGCGGCCACCGCAAGUCGACUGUGAAAUCUCCGGGCUUAACCCGGAAAGGUCAGCCGAUACUGCGGGGCUAGAGUGCAGAAGGGGCAACUGGAAUUCUCGGUGUAGCGGUGAAAUGCGUAGAUAUCGAGAGGAACACCUGCGGCGAAGGCGGGUUGCUGGGCUGACACUGACGCUGAGGCGACGAAAGCUAGGGGAGCGAACGGG